rnacentral:rRNA from 1 species
AUACGGAGGAUGCAAGCGUUAUCCGGAUUCAUUGGGUUUAAAGGGUGCGCAGGCUGAUUAUUAAGUCAGGGGUGAAAUCUCUCGGCUCAACCGAGAAACUGCCUUUGAUACUGAUAGUCUAGAGUAUAGUUGAAGUUGGCGGAAUGUGUCAUGUAGCGGUGAAAUGCUUAGAUAUGACACAGAACACCGAUCGCGAAGGCAGCUAGCUAAGCUAUAACUGACGCUCAUGCACGAAAGCGUGGGGAUC